UAAAUUGAGAUCGCCCGAGAUCGAGAUUGAAAUCAAUCAAGACGAUGAAUUUGAAAUUCUCAUUCAAACUGGAAGUUUGAAUAGUAAAUGUGUGAGAGAGAGAGAGAGAGAGAGGGGGGGGGGGGGAGAAGAGAUCUGGAUCGAUAUCUAGAUUCGUAUUGAGACCAAGAUGUAUCGAGACAACGAAUAUGAAAUUCAUUCUCAAAAAUGAAGUUUGAUUUGUAAAUUUAACUAUUUGAGUUUCACACAAUACCUACUUAGAAAGGUUCAUAAAUUAUGGAUAACAUGUAGAUCGAGAGUGCAAACAAAAAGGAGGAAGUACAAACAAGCAAAAAACUCAAUGUCAGGAAGAGCAGCAAAGAUCGAGAAUAUAACACAGAAGAAAAUAUUUUGUUACAGUGCAAGAUCAAUCUCAAAUUUUACUUGUUAUUAUAGUUAAAGGUGCUUUUGGGAUGUCAAAAGCUAAUGCGAAACAACAAGAUUGUGAAUGUACGUUACGGUUAGUCAAUAGUAUUCUGUUAGUCAAUAGUAUUGUAUUGUAUAACACUUGGUCUUGGUUUUGAUUGAAAUGGUUCAAUUCCAUGUUCUUAGUU